rnacentral:rRNA from 1 species
UGAGGAAUAUUGGUCAAUGGACGAGAGUCUGAACCAGCCAAGUAGCGUGCAGGAUGACGGCCCUAUGGGCUGUAAACUGCUUUUGUUUGGGAAUAAUCGACAUUACGUGUAAUGUUUUGCAUGUACCAUUCGAAUAAGGACCGGCUAAUUCCGUGCCAGCAGCCGCGGUAAUACGGAAGGUCCAGGCGUUAUCCGGAUUUAUUGGGUUUAAAGGGAGUGUAGGCGGUUGGUUAAGCGUGUUGUGAAAUGUAGAUGCUCAACAUCUGACUUGCAGCGCGAACUGGCUGACUUGAGUACACACAACGUAGGCGGAAUUCAUGGUGUAGCGGUGAAAUGCUUAGAUAUCAUGAAGAACUCCGAUUGCGAAGGCAGCUUACGGGAGUGUUACUGACGCUUAAGCUCGAAGGUGCGGGUAUCGAACAGG